rnacentral:rRNA from 1 species
UUCAGCGGCGGACGGGUGAGUAAUGCCUAGGAAUCUGCCCGAUAGUGGGGGACAACGUUUCGAAAGGAACGCUAAUACCGCAUACGUCCUACGGGAGAAAGCAGGGGACCUUCGGGCCUUGCGCUAUCGGAUGAGCCUAGGUCGGAUUAGCUAGUUGGUGGGGUAAAGGCUCACCAAGGCGACGAUCCGUAACUGGUCUGAGAGGAUGAUCAGUCACACUGGAACUGAGACACGGUCCAGACUCCUACGGGAGGCAGCAGUGGGGAAUAUUGGACAAUGGGCGAAAGCCUGAUCCAGCCAUGCCGCGUGUGUGAAGAAGGUCUUCGGAUUGUAAAGCACUUUAAGCUGGGAGGAAGGGCAGUAAGCUAAUACCUUGCUGUUUUGACGUUACCAGCAGAAUAAGCACCGGCUAACUUCGUGCCAGCAGCCGCGGUAAUACGAAGGGUGCAAGCGUUAAUCGGAAUUACUGGGCGUAAAGCGCGCGUAGGUGGUUCAGCAAGUUGGAUGUGAAAGCCCCGGGCUCAACCUGGGAACUGCAUCCAAAACUACUGGGCUAGAGUAUGGUAGAGGGUGGUGGAAUUUCCUGUGUAGCGGUGAAAUGCGUAGAUAUAGGAAGGAACACCAGUGGCGAAGGCGACCACCUGGACUAAUACUGACACUGAGGUGCGAAAGCGUGGGGAGCAAACAGGAUUAGAUACCCUGGUAGUCCACGCCGUAAACGAUGUCAACUAGUUGUUGGGUUCCUUGAGGACUUAGUAACGAAGCUAACGCGAUAAGUUGACCGCCUGGGGAGUACGGCCGCAAGGUUAAAACUCAAAUGAAUUGACGGGGG